AUUGCGCACAUCAUGAGCGAGUGUGGGCGCGCAAGACGAUGAAGUUCCCAAUCAUUUUAUAUUCGUAGUUAUUUAGAAAUUAAUCUAAGCUUUCGGUGUGCAAUCAUUUGUAGCGGCUAGUUUUUUGGCAUAACAAGUUAUCUCGUAAUGUUUCAGAUUUAUUAGGAUGCCAAUGCCGAUGGGAGUAUAACUGGAACUUUUAAGGAAACCUCAAAAAACAUUCAGAUUGAAAUCAACUUUUGGCAGGCUGUCUAUAUUCUGCUGAUGCAUGGUUUCUUCAAAUUCAUUUACUUUACAUCAAUCAAGUGGUGCCUUUUGUUACAAUUCGAGUUGCCAGACAUUUCUACUGGAGGGUACACAAUCUAUCAAUGAAGGAAAUAUUCAUGUAUAUGAAGACCACAUACUCCCAUUCUGUAAAAAAAUGUCACCUAACGAUUUUAAGGAAUUAAGGAUAGUACAUUGACACUUUGAGACAGUCAUACGCAAUAAAAUAAAUAAAUAGUCAACAAU